CCGAGUGAGGGCCUCCGGCCCGACCUCCAACCCUUUGUUAUCAAAACCACUGUUGCCUCGGGGGCGACCCGGGCCCGUCGGCCCAGGGCCCCCGAUGGACAAUCUCAAAACACUGCAUCUUUGCGUCGGGUUACAAAGUUUAAUUGAUUA
rnacentral:misc_RNA from 1 species